GAUGAACGCUGGCGGCGUGCCUAAUACAUGCAAGUCGAGCGAACAGACGAGGAGCUUGCUCCUCUGACGUUAGCGGCGGACGGGUGAGUAACACGUGGAUAACCUACCUAUAAGACUGGGAUAACUUCGGGAAACCGGAGCUAAUACCGGAUAAUAUAUUGAACCGCAUGGUUCAAUAGUGAAAGACGGUUUUGCUGUCACUUAUAGAUGGAUCCGCGCCGCAUUAGCUAGUUGGUAAGGUAACGGCUUACCAAGGCAACGAUGCGUAGCCGACCUGAGAGAGUGAUCGGCCACACUAGAACUGAGACACGGUCCAGGCUCCUACGGGAGGCAGCAGUAGGGAAUCUUCCGCAGUGGGCGAGAGCCUGACGGAGCAACGCCGCGUGAGUGAUGAAGAUCUUCGGAUCGUAAAACUCUGUUAUUAGGGAAGAACAAAUGUGUAAGUAACUAUGCACGUCUUGACGGUACCUAAUCAGAAAGCCACGGCUAACUACGUG
rnacentral:rRNA from 1 species